rnacentral:rRNA from 1 species
UACGUAGGGCGCAAGCGUUGUCCGGAAUUAUUGGGCGUAAAGAGCUCGUAGGCGGCCUGUUACGUCUGCUGUGAAAUCCCAGGGCUCAACCCUGGGCGUGCAGUGGAUACUGGCGAGCUAGAGUGCGGUAGAGGAAGGUGGAAUUCCCGGUGUAGCGGUGAAAUGCGUAGAGAUCGGGAGGAACACCAGUGGCGAAGGCGGCCUUCUGGACCAGCACUGACACUCAAGCACGAAAGCGUGGGGAGCAAACAGG